AGUGAAAUUGCUGGGUCAUUCUGUAAGUAUGUUUAAUUUUAUAUGAAACUGCCAGACUGUUUUCCAAAGUGACUGUACAUUUUGCAUUCCCACUGGCACU
rnacentral:pre_miRNA from 1 species